GACGAACGCUGGCGGCGUGCUUAACACAUGCAAGUCGAACGGAAAGGCCCUGCUUUUGUGGGGUGCUCGAGUGGCGAACGGGUGAGUAACACGUGAGUAACCUGCCCUUGACUUUGGGAUAACUUCAGGAAACUGGGGCUAAUACCGGAUAGGAGCUCCUGCUGCAUGGGGGGGGUUGGAAAGUUUCGGCGGUGGGGGCUGGACUCGCGGCUUAUCAGCUUGAUGGUGGGGUAGUGGCGUACCAAGGGUUUGACGGGUAGCCGGCCUGAGAGGGUGAACGGCCACAUUGGGACUGAGAUACGGACCAGACUCCUACGGGAGGCAGUAGUGGGGAAUAUGGCACAAUGGGCGGAAGCCUGAUGCAGCAACGCCGCGUGCGGGAUGACGGCCUUCGGGUUGUAAACCGCUUUCGCCUGUGACGAAGCGUGAGUGACGGUAAUGGGUAAAGAAGCACCGGCUAACUACGUG
rnacentral:rRNA from 1 species